UUGCUUGAACCCAGGAGGCAGAGGUUGCAGUGAGCCCAGAUCGUGCCACUGCACUCCAGCCUGGGCAACAGAGUGAAACUCGGUCUCAAAAAAUAAAUAAAUAAAAAUAAAAAGAAAUAAAAUUACUAUGAGGAUACCGUUUUUGAAUAGCAUUUUUUAGUUUUUUAACUUCAGCAUACAUUCCAACUUUUAUUCCAUGGAGAUUUCUUACACCAAGGACCGUCAAGGACUUUGCCUGACAGUAAGAGAAUGAUUAUUUGAGUAGUGCAUGAUUUUUACUUUUUUGAUAUUAAACAUCUAUGUGUGUAACAAAUCUCAAAGCUUGUGUAAAGAAUCUUCUUAGAUCUUGAAAGUUAAAUUGUCCAAUUUCUUAUUAAUAUUCACAAUCCUCCCAUACACACAUAAAUUUCUUUGAAAAAUAAGAUUAACUGUGUUGUUUAUAUAAUGAGACUGAAAUAAACUG
rnacentral:lncRNA from 10 species